AAGAUCGGGCUUCAACGACUUUCGUGCAUCGUGUAUCGUAAAUCUAUUGAAACUGUUAUUUUCUGGGGUAUUGGGUGAAGUUGCCAAGAUCGUGUUGACUUCACUUCUUCUCAUACAGACAUCGGGAACCUCAAUUUUUAAAGAAAAUGAGGUAUUGCCUCUCAUUUUUAAGUUUCACCUAAUUCGAGCCAAAAGACUUAAAACCGCCUUGACCUGCAUUGGGCCACCUUGACCCUCCUAGACCCGCCUAGGGCCAUCUUGACCCUCCUAGAUCCGCCAAGGGGCUACCUAGAGCCUCUAUGUGGCCGUCUUGACCCGCUUUGGGCCGCCUUGACAUGCCUUGGGCCGCCUUAACCCGUCUUGGGCCGCCUAGACCCGCCUUGGGCCGCCUAGACCCGCUUUGGCCAGCCUUGACCCGCCUUGGACACUUAGUGCCACCAAGAAGCCGCCAUGAUUUGCCAAGGUGUCGCCAUGACCCUCCUAGGUCCAUCUAGGGCCGCCAAGGGACCGCCUUAACCCGCCUUAGGCCACCUUGACCCUCCUCGGCCCACCCUUAGGGAACGCCCUAAGGNGGCGCAAUGACCACCUAGGGUUGCCAAGGGGCUGCAUUGACCCAUCUAGGGCCGCAAAGAGGCUUCUUUGACCCUUCUAGGGCCGCCUUAACCCUCCUAGACCCGCCUAGAGCCACCAAGAAGCCGCCAUGACUCGCCAAAGGGUCUCCAUGACGCUUCUUGGGUUGCCUUAACCCGCCUUAGGCCGCCUUGACCCAUGUUAGCCCGCCUUAGGCCACCUUGACCCGCCCUGAACCGCUUUGGGCCGUCUUGACCCUCCUAGACUCGGCUAGGACCGCCUUGAUCCUCCUAGACUCGCCUAGGGUAAGAAGCCGCCAUGACUCGCCAUGACCCAUCAAGGGGCUCCUUUUACACGCCUUGACCCUCUUAAGGCCACCUUGACCAGUGUAGGGCCGCCUUAACCCGCCUAGAGCCGCUAAGAGGCUGCCUUUACACGCCUUGACACACCAAGGGCCGCUAAAGGGGCUGUUUUGACACGCCUAGGGCCGCCAAUGGGUGCCUUUACAUGUCUUAACCCGUUUAGGGUAGCCAAGAAACCGUCAUAACAUUCCUAGGGCCGCCUUGACACGCCUAGGGCCGCCAAGGGGAUGUCUUGACCAGUCAAUGGGCUACCUUUACACGCCUAGGGUUGUUUUGACCUCCCUAGGGACCGCCAUGACCCGCCUAGGGCCGCAAAGGGGCUGCAUACGUCCGCCAAGGGGCCACCUUGACCCGCCAUGGCUCACCAUGACCCGCUUUAACCUGGCUUGGCCCGCCAUGACCCGCCUAGGGCCGCCAAGGGGCUGCAUAUGUCCACAAAGGGGACACCUUGACCCGCCUUGGCCCGUUAUGACCCGUUUUGACCUGCCUUGGCCCGCCAUGACCCGCCUUGGCCCGUCUUGAACCGGCUUGACCCGGCUUUGGCCGCCUUGAACCGCCUUGGGCCGCUUUGACCCUCCUAGACCCACCUAGGGCCACCAAGAAGCCGCCAUGACUCCCCAAGGGGUCGCCAUGACCAUCUUAGGCCCGUCUGGGGCCGCCUUGACCCUCCUCGGCUCUUCUAGGCCUACCUUGGGCAGCCAACGACCGGCCAAGGGGGUGCCUUGACCUGCCUUGGCCCGCCUUGGAACUCCUUGGGCUGCCUUGCCCCGCCUUGGGCCGUGUUGGCCCGCCUUGAUCCGACUUGGACCGCCUUGACUCACCCUGAAACGCCUUAGGCCGCCUCCUAGACCCGCCUAGUCUCUCCUAGACCCGCGAAGGGGCUGCCUUUACACGCCUUGACCCGUCUAGGGCCACCAAGGACCGCCUUGAUCCGCCUUGGCCUUCGGUGGGCCGUCUUGGCCGGCCUUAACCCGCCUUGACCCUUCUUGACUCGCCUAGGGUCACCAAAAAGCCACCAUGACUCGCCAUGACCCAUCAAGGGGCUUCUUUUACACGCCUUCACCCUCCUAGACCCGCCUAGGGCCACCUUGACUCGUGUAGGGCCGCCAAGGGCCGCCUUAACCCGCCUUAAGCUGCCUUGACCCUUCUUGGCCCGCCUUGACCCUCCUCGGCCCUUUUAGGCCCACCUAGGGCAGCGAAGGGGGAGCCAUGGCCCACCUAGAGCCGCCAAGGGGCUGCAUGUACACGCCUUGACCCAACUAGGGCCUCCAAGGGGCUGCCUACGGCCGCCAUGGGGCUAACUUGACCCGUAUAGAGCCGCUUUGACCCGCCUUGGACCGGCUUGACCGACCUUGACCCGCUUUCAGCCUCUUUGACCCUCCUUUGCUUGCCUUGACCCACCUUAACCUGCCUUGGACUGCGUUGACCCGCCUUAGUCCGCCUUGAACAGCCUUAAACCGCCCUGAACCGCCUUGGGCCUCCUAGUGCCACCAAAAAGCCGCCAUGACUCGCCAUGACCCUCCUAGGCCCGUCUAGGUCGCCAAUGGAAUGCCUUAACCCGCCUUGACCCGUCUUGGCCCACGUUGGGCCGCCUUGACCCUCCUCGGCACUUCUUGGCCAACCUAGGGCAGCCAAGGGGGCUCCAUGACCUGUCUUGGCCUGCCUUGACCCCCCAAGGGGACGUCUUAAACCUCCGAGAUCUGCCUAGGGCCACCUUGAGCCUCCUAGACCCGCCAAGGGGCUGCUUAUGGCCGCCCCUUGACUCGCCUUGGUCUACAUUGACUCGCCUUGACCCGCGUUGGCCCGCCUUGACACGCCUUGGACCGCCUUGACCCGCCUUGGACCGCCUUGGCUCGCCUUGACCUGCCAUGACCCGCCUUGGCUCGCCUUGACCCGCUUUGAACCGCUUUGGCCCGCCGUGACCCUCUUAGACCCGCCUAGGGCCGCCUUGACCCUCCUAGACUCGCCUAGGGCCGCUAAAUGGCCGCCUUGACACGCCUAAGGCCGCCAAGGGGACGACUUGACCUGCCAAACCUUUUACCUGCCUAGUUCUGUUUUGACCUCCCAAGGGCUCGCCAAGACCCGCAUAGGGCUGCCAUGGGGCUAUCUUGACCCAUCUAGGGCCGCCUUGACCCGCCUUGGCCAGUUUUCGGCCGCUUUGGCCCGCCUUGGACAGCCAUGACCGGCCUUGGGCCGCCUUGACCGGCCUUGACCCGCCUUAGACCGCCUUGACCCUCCUUGAAUUGCCUUAACCCUACUAGAUCCGCCAAGGGGCUGCCUAGGGCCGCCAUGGGGUCGCCUUGAACUGCCUUGACCGGCCUUGGUCCGCCUUUACCCGCCUUGGCCUUCGUUAGGACGCCUUGGCCCGCUUUGGCCCGCUUUGACCCGCCUAGAGCCGACUUGGGCCUCCUUGACCCUCCUAGACCCGUCUAGUGCCGUCUUGACCCUCCUAAACUCGCCUAGGGCCACCAAGAAGCCCUCAUUACUCGCCAUGACACGUCAAAGGGCUGCAUUUACACGCCUUGAACCACCUAGGGUCGCCAAGAGGGCUGCUUUGACAUGACAAGGGCUAGCAUGACCCGCCAAGGGGAUGUCUACGGCCGUAAUGGGGCUACCUUGACCCGUCUAGGGCUGUCUUGGCCCGUCUUAAGCCGNNNNNNNNNNNNNNNNNNNNUUGACACGCCUUGGACCGCCUUGCACAGCCUUGACCCGCCUUGGACCGCCUUGACCCGUCAUGACCCGCCUUUACCCGCCUAGUUCUGUUUUGACCUUCCAAGGGCUCGCCAUGACCCGCCUAGGGCCGCCAAGGGGCUGCCUACAACCACCAUGGGGCUAUCUUGACCCAUCUAGGGCGGCCUUGACCCGCCUUGGACAGUCUUGAAUCGCCUUGGGCCGCCUUGACCCUACUAGAUCCGCCAAGGGGCUGCCUAGGACCGCCAUGGGGUAGCCUUGAACUGCCUUGACCGGCCUUGGUCCGCCUUAGACCCGGCUUGGACCCGCCUUGGCCAUCGUUAGGACGCCUUGGCCUGCUUUGGCCCGCCUUGACACGCCUAGAACCAACUUGGGCCUCCUUGACCCUCCUAGACCCGUUUAGGGCCGCCUUGACCCUCCUAGACUCGCCUAAAGCCACCAAGAAGCCCUCUUUACUCGCCAUGACACGUCAAGAGGGCUGCUUUGACACGCCAAGGGCUAGCAUGACACGCCAGGGGGCUGUCUACGGCCGCAAUGGGGCUACCUUGACCCGUCUAGGGUGCCUUAGCUCGUCUUAAGCCGCUUUGACCCGACUUGGCCCGCCCUGGACCGCCUUGGCCCCCCUUGACCCGCCUUGGGCCGCUAUGAGCCACCUUUGCCUGCCUUGACCAGCUUUGAACCGCUUUGGCACGCCUUAACCCGUCUUGGAUCGCCUUGGGUUGCCUUGACCCGCCUUAGGUCUCCUUGACCCCCUUGGACCGCCUUGAGCUGCCUUGACCCUCCAAGACCAAACUAGGGCCACCAAGAAGCCGACUCUCCAAGGGGUCUCCAUGACCCUUCUUGGCCCGUCUUGGGCCGCCUUAACACGCCUUGGGCAACCAUGACCCACCUAGAGCCGCCAAGGGGCUGACUUUACAUGUUUUGACCCGCCUACAGCCGCCAAGGGGCCGCCUUGGGUCGCUAAGGGGGUCGCCUUGACACGCCUCAGGCCGCCAAGGGGACGUCUUGACCCGCCUUAGCCUGCCUACGGCCGCCAUGGGCUAUCUUGACCCGCCUUUGACCGUCUUAGGCCGCUUUGACCCGCCUUGGGCCGCCUAUGACCGCCUUGACCCGCCGUGGGCUCUUUUGACCCGCAUUUGCCCGCCUUGAUUCGCCUUGACCCGCCUUGACCCUCGUAGACCCACCUAGGGCCACCAAGAAACUGCCAUGACACGGCAAGGGGUCGCCCUGACCCUCCUAGGCCCGUCUGGGGCAACCGUGACCCGCCUUAGCCUGCCGUGACCUGCCUUAGCCACCGCUUUGGACCACCUUGGGCUGCUUUGACCCGCCUUGCACCGCCUUGAACCGCCUUGGGCCGCCUUGAACCGCCUUGACCUUCCUAGAGCCGCCUUGACCCUCCUUGACUCGCAUAGGGCCAACAAAAAGCGGCCAUGACUCGCUAAGACCUGUGAAGGGACUUCCUUUACAUGUCUUAACCCUCUUAGGCCCGCCUUAGGCAGCCUUGACCCUCCUCGGCCCUUCUAGGCCCACCUAGGGCAGCCAAGGAGGAGCCAUGACCUACCUAGAGCCGCCAAGGGGCUGCCUUUACACGCCUUGACUAACCUAGGGCCAUAAAGGGGCUGCUUUGACCCUCCUAGAGCCGCCUUGACCCUCCUUGACUCGCCAAGGGCCAACAAAAAGCGGGAACCUCGAUUUUCAAGGGUAUUUGGUGAAUUUGCCAUGGUCGUGUUGACCUCAAUUCUUCUCAUACAGACAUCGGAAACCUCAAUUUUCAAAGAAAAUGAGGUAUUGCCCCUCAUUUUCAAGUUUCACCCAAUUCGAGCCAAAAGGCCCAAAACCCCUUGCUAUACACACGAGUUUCUGGCCAUUUUCACUUUUUUUAG
rnacentral:lncRNA from 1 species